rnacentral:tRNA from 1 species
CAUUAGGUGGCUGAAUCUUAUAAGCGCUGGUCUCUUAAACCAUUUUAUAGUAAACUUACUCCUAAUGA